AUAAGGGACGUGAAUAUAUUGAGAAUCUAUAAAAUAAUAAUGUGCAACUUUAUUUUAAUUAUGAUAAAGUCUAGUUAAACGAACCAUGAAAGGAGUAAAUUAAAAAAUAAAGGAAAUUUUGUCAAAAACUACUCACUAAAAACACUUUUUUGUGAAAAAUCACCCACAAUAAAAAAUGUUGUAAAACACCACCCACACUAAAAAAAAAUAUUGCAAAAAGCCACCCAUUGUUAAAAACAGGUCGUUGACCGUCCUUCCCCGGCGCUGACCACACUCCCCACCCCUAGAAAACCCUAGAAUUCAUCAGAAAAGUUUGGCAGCCCCUUGCCCUCCCCCUCGAAACCCCUAACAUUCACUCCUCCCUUGAAAACCCCUAAUAUUCACUCCCCUUCCACCUUGAAAAUCACUCCAACCACAUUUUCCGAUGGUGGUUUGGGGUUUUUCAUUGUUUCAAGUGAAUUUUAAAGGUUUUCAAGGGGGAGGGGGAAGGGCGAUCAAAUGUUUUUCGGUGAAUUCUAGGGGUUUUUAAGGGGAUGGGACGGGUGAUCAACAGCAAGGGAGGGCGGUAAUCGCCGGAAAAUAUGAUCAACAAUCUGUUUCUGGCAGUAGGUGGCUUUUUGCAACAUUUUUUUUAGUUUAGGUGAUUUUUUACAAUAUUUUUUAUUAUGGGCGAUUUCCACAAAAAUAUGUUUUAAGUGGGUGGUUUUUCACAAAAUUUCCAAAAAUAAAUAAAAAGAAAAGGCUGUUUAUUAGUAGUAAACUGAUUACUCUAAAUAAAAAUAGUCCAAGGUACAGUUUCAAAUUUUCAAUACAUUAGGGAAGAGCAAGAAAGUUUAACAGUCUUCAACUAAAGCAUUGAUGAAUAUUUGGGUAUGCAUAUUUUGUUGUGAUUGUUUAUCUGCUGCUUCUCAUUUCUCAAGCACAACAAUAGUAAUAGCAGCAAUAAGUAGGUCGCUGCAACAAUAACAGGCGGCUGCUUAUGACCGAUGGCGCGGCAGAUACCAUCGGUGGAGCACUCUUAAGCGCACAACCUACUUAGCUUGCUCUCUCAUUAAUCAACUAAUAUUGUGUACAUUACUUAAUUGAGCUGGAAAUGCCAAGCUUUAUUUCUCGAAGAUUUAAGUGACUUCAGCUCUCUGCGAGAAAGGGAGCAAAACAUGGGACUGGUUUCAUUUUCUUAGGGAUGAACAUCUUGAAUAUUUCCUGGUGCUAUUGGAAGUGUAAAAGGGCAUUCUUCAAAUCCACAGCAUACUUAACAAUUUUGCAGACACCUUUUCAAUUCAGGAGCUUCAGUAUUCACAGACUAAAACAAAGCAGUGAUGUCAAAAGUCUGAACAAGGCAUUGAGAAUUAUUGAUCUUGUGUCUCCAAAACCCACCCAUGUUAGUAAUAACCAACAUUGCCAUCUUCAACUUAUUCAGGACUUGCUUCAAACGCAUUCAAAAAAUCUUAGUGAAGUUAAAGCAUCCAAUGACUUUGCAAAUGCAUGUUUCGGAAACCAAAAUCCUCCUGAUCAAAUGCUUCCAUCUUUCUCUUUCAAGGAUGAUGUGAUUUCAGGGGUUUUUAAACUACAUAGAGAAGGGUUUAGAAUUGAUGUCACAUUGCUUCCACAUGCACUAAGUAUUUGUGGCUAUAGAGGGAAUCUUCAUUGUGGAACUCAGCUUCAGUGCUUAGCUAUCAGAAAUGGGUUGUUUGUAAAUGUCUAUGUUGGAAGUUCUUUAAUUAGCAUGUACUCGAAGUGUGGGGACUUAUGCUCUGCUUCGAUGGUGUUUGAGGAGAUGCCUGUGAGAAAUGUUGUAUCAUGGACUGCUUUCAUAUCUGGAUUUGCUCAAAAAUACCAAGUUGAUGUCUGUUUGGAGCUAUAUAGCCAAAUGAGACAUUCAUCUCUUGAACCUAAUGAUUAUACACUAACAAGUCUCUUGAGUGUGUGUGUAGGUAACGGCUCUCUUAAACAAGGAAAGAGUGUUCAUUGUCUGGCCAUUCUUUCGGGUUUUGAUUCAUAUCUUCCUGUUGCCAAUGCUCUUGUCUCAAUGUAUUGCAAGUGUGGUGAUGUUGAAGAUGCAUUUUCUGUAUUUGAGUCAAUGCAUGAUAAAGAUAUUGUUUCAUGGAAUUCCAUGAUUUCAGGGUAUGCGUUGCAUGGACUAGCUUGGAAAGCAAUUGAUCUCUUUGAGGAGAUGAAAAGGCAGAAAAUGAAGCCUGACUGUAUUACAUUUCUAGGUGUUCUCUCAUCAUGUCGUCAUGUUGGUCUUGUUAAACAAGGUCAUAUGUAUUUUGAUUCAAUGGUAGCAUAUGGUGUGGAGCCUGAUUUGGGCCAUUACUCAUGUAUUGUUGAUCUUCUUGGUCGAGCUGGCUUGAUUGAUGAGGGCCGAAAUUUAAUUUUGGACAUGCCAAUAAAACCCAAUGCCAUCAUAUGGGGCUCGCUUCUUGCUUCGUGUAGGCUUCAUGAUAAUGUUUGGAUUGGUAUAGAGGCUGCUGAGAACAGGCUUGCACUAGAACCUUCGUGUGCUGCCACCCAUGUGCAGCUUGCAAAGUUGUAUGCAAGGGUUGGAAUGUGGGAUCAGGUGGCAAAAGUUUGGAAAAUGAUGAAGGACACCGAUCUCCAAUUAAAUCCCGGAUACAGCUGGAUUGAGAUAGGGAAUGAAGUCGUCAGCUUUAAAGCAGAUGACACUACCAACUCCAGAAUGAAUGAGGUUUUCUGUAUGUUGGAGGGUUUGAAAUGUCAGCUCAAAUCAGAUCAUGUGCUCGAAUCUCACGAAGAGUUUGAUAUUUAUUCUUGCACAAAUGUUUCAUGAUGAAUUGGCAAAAUAAUGUUUCAUGAUCUCCAAUUAAAUCCCGGAUACAGCUGGAUUGAGAUAGGGAAUGAAGUCGUCAGCUUUAAAGCAGAUGACACUACCAACUCCAGAAUGAAUGAGGUUUUCUGUAUGUUGUAGGGUUUGAAAUGUCAGCUCAAAUCAGGUCAUGUGCUCGAAUCUCACGAAGAGUUUGAUAUUUAUACUUGCACAAAUGUUUCAUGAUGAAUUGGCAAAAUAAUGUUUCAUGAUCUCCAAUUAAAUCCCGGAUACAGCUGGAUUGAGAUAGGGAAUGAAGUCGUCAGCUUUAAAGCAGAUGACACUACCAACUCCAGAAUGAAUGAGGUUUUCUGUAUGUUGGAGGGUUUGAAAUGUCAGCUCAAAUCAGAUCAUGUGCUCGAAUCUCACGAAGAGUUUGAUAUUUAUUCUUGCACAAAUGUUUCAUGAUGAAUUGGCAAAAUAAUGCUAAUACACGAAUUUGUUCAGCUGCUGCAUAUGUGUCCAGCCAUCCACUAAUUGAUUUUGUGAGGUACAUGCAUCCUUCUAUUGAAGCACAGUUUUCAAUGAAAUCUUUUUGUAUUUUAUUCAUGACAACAGUGCAACGGACUAGCGUUUGAGACAAUAAAUAAGUCGAAAGGUGUUUAAUCUAGCAUUGAAUCUGGCAAAAUAGAAGCUUCUCAUGCAUCCGCCAAAAACCAAGACAAGACAUGUUGGGUUUACCAGGUCCUUUGGCAUUUUCUGGCUUGUCUCUGCUCUGUACUGCUCUACAUCCGCAUGUAACCCUUCACAAUGACACCGUAGCAGCAAAUAGCUUCUUGGAAGAAGUAAGCAAAUCAUUGUUGAUUUUCACAAUUCUGAGUUCAUUUCCCAUAGUGACAAUUAAUCCUGGUCUGUCAUUACCUAUCAAACAUCUGCAUGCAGACAUUUCAGAACUGGGUUGUUUGUCCAGAUUUUGGGGAUCUUGCUAGGGAUAUAGGUAGUGGAGUUUUGAAGUAUGUGUAGACUUUAAUCUUGUAUGUGAUGUUCAUAAUAUCUGCAAAAUUUGGUGAUGUUCUGAAUGACCACAUAUGUAUUCCCAAUAAGCAAAGUUGAAUAAAAUCGAAUUCUUUUCUUGCACAGUA